UGGGGAAUAUUGGACAAUGGGCGAAAGCCUGAUCCAGCAAUUCCGCGUGUGUGAAGAAGGCCUUCGGGUUGUAAAGCACUUUAGUGGGGGAAGAAACAGCUUGGCCACACCAAGCCUUGACGGUACCCCAAGAAUAAGCACCGGCUAACUCUGUGCCAGCAGCCGCGGUAAUACAGAGGGUGCAAGCGUUAAUCGGAUAUACUGGGCGUAAAGGGUGCGUAGGUGGUUUUUUAAGUCGGAUGUGAAAGCCUGGGGCUCAACCUCAGAAUUGCAUUCGAUACUGGGAAACUAGAGUUCGGUAGAGGGCGGCGGAAUUUCCGGUGUAGCGGUGAAAUGCGUAGAUAUCGGAAGGAACAUCAAUGGCGAAGGCAGCCGCCUGGGCCUGGACUGACACUGAGGCACGAAAGCGUGGGUAGCAAACA
rnacentral:rRNA from 1 species